UUGGGCUAAUUUAGAACCAAUUGAAGCCAAAUUGGAUUUGGUCUUGAAAUGGGUUCGAAGUGUUUUAAUUGGGCUUGCUGUUGGGUGCCAAAAACCAGGGAACCACAAGCCUAAGAGUCUCUCUCUUGGCGUGUGGAUUUAAAUCCAUGCGCAUGAGCCACAUGGCGCAUGGAUAGAGUUGGCGCCACCUUAAAUUUGGUCUUAUCUAUUUUUUCUCCAUAGUUUUUAUUCUA
rnacentral:lncRNA from 1 species